rnacentral:rRNA from 1 species
GUGGGGAAUUUUGGACAAUGGGCGCAAGCCUGAUCCAGCAAUGCCGCGUGCAGGAAGAAGGCCUUCGGGUUGUAAACUGCUUUUGUACGGAACGAAACGGUCCGGGUUAAUACCCUGGGCUAAUGACGGUACCGUAAGAAUAAGCACCGGCUAACUACGUGCCAGCAGCCGCGGUAAUACGUAGGGUGCAAGCGUUAAUCGGAAUUACUGGGCGUAAAGCGUGCGCAGGCGGUGCUGUAAGACAGGCGUGAAAUCCCCGGGCUCAACCUGGGAAUUGCGCUUGUGACUGCAGUGCUGGAGUACGGCAGAGGGGGAUGGAAUUCCGCGUGUAGCAGUGAAAUGCGUAGAUAUGCGGAGGAACACCGAUGGCGAAGGCAGUCCCCUGGGCCUGUACUGACGCUCAUGCACGAAAGCGUGGGGAGCAAACAGGAUUAGAUACCCGGGUAGUCC